rnacentral:lncRNA from 1 species
AGUUUUCCCUUGAAGAGGAAAGGGUGAUGCAGUAAAGCAGCGUCAGUAUUUCCCUCAGUUUUUGAGAAGCAAGGUAUCAAUCCAGUAGGAGGCCACGCACGAGUCCCUCGCACCUACACAAACAAAUAAAAUCCUCGCAACCAACGCAAUAAAGGGGUUGUCAAUCCCUUCACGGUCACUUACGAAAGUGAGAUCUGAUAGAUUUGAUAAGAUAAUAUUUUUGGUAUUUUUAUGAUAAAGAUGCAACGUAAAGAAAGCAAAAUAAAAACAGCGCUAGAAAUAGCUUGUUGACGGGAGAUUAAAUAUGAUGGAAAAUAGACCGGGGGGCCGUAGGUUUCACUAGUGGCUUCUCUCGAGAGCAUAAGUAUUUCGGUGGGUAGACAAAUUACUGUUGAGCAAUUGACAGAAUUGAGCAUAGUUAUGAGAAUAUCAAGGUAUGAUCAUGUAUAUAGGCAUCACGUCCGAGGCAAGUAGCCCGACUCCUGCCUGCAUCUACUACUAUUACUCCACACAUCGACCGCUAUCCAGCAUGCAUCUAGAGUAUUAAGUUCAAAAGAACAGAGUAACGCUUUAAGUAAGAUGACAUGAUGUAGAGGGAUAAACUCAUGCAGUAUGAUAUAAACCCCAUCUUGUUAUGCUCGAUGGCAACAAUACAAUACGUGCCUUGCUGCCCCUACUGUCACUGGGAAAGGACACCGCAAGAUUGAACCCAAAGCUAAGCACUUCUCCCAUCGCAAGAAAGAUCAAUCUAGUAGGCCAAACCAAACUGAUAAUUUGAAGAGACUUGCAAAGAUAACCAAUCAUACAUAAAAGAAUUCAGACAAGAUUCAAAUAUUGUUCAUAGAUAAACUUGAUCAUAAACCCACAAUUCAUCGGUCUCAACAAACACACCGCAAAAGAAGAUUACAUCGAAUAGAUCUCCACAAGAGAGGGGGAGAACAUUGUAUUGAGAUCCAAAAAGAGAGAAGAAGCCAUCUAGCUAAUAACUAUGGACCCGAAGGUCUGAGGUAAACUACUCACACAUCAUCGGAGAGGCUAUGGUGUUGAUGUAGAAGCCCUCCAUGAUCGAUGCCCCCUCCGGCGGAGCUCCGGAAAAGGCCCCAAGAUGGGAUCUCAUGGGUACAGAAGGUUGCGGCGAUGGAAUUAGGUUUUUGGCUCCGUAUCUGGUAGUUUUGGGGGUACGUAGGUAUAUAUAGGAGGAAGAAGUACGUCGGUGGAGCAACGUGGGCCCCACGAGGGCGCGCCCCCUACCUCAUGCCUUCCUGGUAGAUUUCUUGACGUAGGGUCCAAGUCCUCUAGAUCACGUUCGUUCCCAAAAUCACGUUUCCGAAGGUUUCAUUCCGUUUGGACUCCGUUUGAUAUUCUUUUUCUGUGAAACUCUGAACUAGGCAAAAAACAGCAAUUCUGGGGUGGGCCUCCGGUUAAUAGGUUAGUCCCAAAAAUAAUAUAAAAGUGUAUAAUAAAGCCCAUUAAUGUCUAAAACAGAAUAUAAUAACGUUGGAGACGUAUCAAGCAUCUCCAAGCUUAAUUCCUGCUCGUCCUCGAGUAGGUAAAUGAUAAAAACAGAAUUUUUAAUGUGGAAUGCUACUUGGCAUAAUUUGAAUGUAAUUCUCUUAAUUGUGGUAUGAAUAUUUAGACCCGAAAGAUUCAAGACAAAAGUUUAAUAUUGACAUAAAAAUAAUAAUACUUCAAGCAUACUAACUAAGCAAUUAUGUCUUCUCAAAAUAACAUGGCCAAAGAAAGUUAUCCCUACAAAAUCAUAUAGUCUAGCUAUGCUCUAUCUUCACCACACAAAGUAUUUAAAUUAUGCACAACCCCGAUGACAAGCCAAGCAAUUGUUUCAUACUUUUGAUGUUCUCAAACUUUUUCAAUCUUCACGCAAUACAUGAGCAUGAGCCAUGGACAUAGCACUAUAUGUGGAAUAGAAUGGUGGUUGUGGAGAAGACAAAAAAGGAGAAGAUAGUCUCACAUCAACUAGGCGUAUCAACGGGCUAUGGAGAUGCCCAUUAAUAGAUAUCAAUGUGAGUGAGUAGGAAUUGCCAUGCAACAGAUGCACUAGAGCUAUAAGUAUAUGAAAGCUCAACAAAAGGAACUAAGUGGGUGUGCAUCCAACUCACUUGCUCAUGAAGACCUAGGGCAUUUUGAGGAAGCCCAUCAUUGGAAUAUACAAGCCAAGUUCUAUAAUGAAAAUUUCCCACUAGUACAUGAAAGUGAUAUCAUAGGAGACUCUCUAUCAUGAAGAUCAUGGUGCUACUUUGAAGAACAAGUGUGGUAAAACGAUAGUAACAUUGUCCCUUCUCUCUUUUUCUCUCUUUUUUAUUUGGGUCUUUUAUCCUUUUUUUAUGGCCUCUUUUUUUUUAGUCCGAAGACUCAUCACGACUUGUGGGGGAAUCAUAGUCUCCAUCAUCCUUUCCUCACUUGGGACAAUGCUCUAAAAAAAUGAUGAUCAUCACACUUUUAUUUACUUACAACUCAACAAUUACAACUCAAUACUUAGAACAAAAUAUGACUCUAUGUGAAUGCCUCCGACGGUAUAUCGUGAUAUGCAAUGAAUCAAGAGUGACAUGUAUGAAAGAAUUAUGAACGGUGGCUUUGCCACAAAUACAAUGUCAACUACAUGGUCAUGGAAAGCAAUAUGACAAUGAUGGAGUGUGUCAUAAUAAACUGAACGGUGGUAAGUUGCAUGGCAAUAUAUCUCGGAAUGGCUAUGGAAAUGCCACGGUAGGUAGGUAUGGUGGCUGUUUUGAGGAAGGUAUAUGGUGGGUGUAUGAUACCGGCGAAAAGUGCGCGGUAUUAGAGAGGCUAGCAAUGGUGGAAGGAAGAAAGUGCGUAUAAUCCAUGGACUCAACAUUAGCCAUAAAGAACUCAUAUACUUAUUGCAAAAAUCUACAAGUUAUCGAAGCAAAGUAUUACCCGCAUCAUUCUAGGGGGAUAGAUUGGUAGGAAAAGACAAUCACUCGUCCCCGACCGCCACUCAUAAGGAAGACAAUCAAUAAAUAAAUCAUGCUCCGACUUCAUCACAUAACGGUUCACCAUACGUGCAUGCUAAGGGAAUCACAAACUUUAACACAAGUAUUUCACAAAUUCAAAACUACUCAACUAGCAUGACUCUAAUAUCACCAUCUCCAUAUCUCAAAACAAUUAUCAAGUAUCAAACUUCUCAUAGUAUUCAACACACUCAUAAGAUUUUUUUACUAAUCUUGAGUGCCUAUCAUAAUUAAAGCAAAUUACCACGCUGUUUUGUAGGACUAUCAAAAUAAUCUAAGUGAAUCAUGAGAGAACAAUAGUUUCUAUAAAACAAAACCACCACCGUGCUCUAAAAGAUAUACGUGAAGCACUAGAGCAAAAACUAUAUAGCUCAAAGGAUAUAAGUGAAGCACAUAGAGUAUUCUAACAAUUUCUGAAUCAUGUGUGUCUCUCUCAAAAGGUGUGUACUGCAAGGAUUAUUGUGGCAAACUAACAAAUAAAGACUUCAAAUAAUACAAGACGCUCCAAGCAAAACACAUAUCAUGUGGUGAAUAAAAAUAUAGCUCCAAGUAAAGUUACCGAUGGAAGUAGACGAAAGAGGGGAUGCCUUCCGGGGCAUCCCCAAGCUUUGGGUUUUAGGUGUCCUUAGAUUAUCUUGGUGUGCCAUGGGCAUCCCCAAGCAUAGGCUCUUGCCACUCCUUGUUUCAUAAUCCAUCAAAUCUUUCACCCAAAACUUGAAAACUUCACAACACAAAACUCAGCAGAAAAUCUCGUGAGCUCCGUUAGCAAAAAACAAAACACCACUUCAAGGUACUGUAAUGAACUCAUUCUUUAUUUAUGUUGGUGUUAAACCUACUGUAUUCCAACUUCUGUAUGGUUUAUAAACUAUUUUACUAGCCAUAGAUUCAUCAAAAUAAGCAAACAACACACGAAAAACAGAAUCUGUCAAAAACAGAACAGUCUGUAGUAAUCUGUAACUAACGCAAUUUUCUGGGACUCCAAAAAUUGACCCAAAAUAGGAAGACCUAGACAAUUUUUUUAUUGAUCAGCAGCAAUUGGAAUUAAUAUUUUAUCACGUCCUGGUGAUUUUUAACAAUUAUUUUCGUGAACAGAAAGUUUCUGGAAUUUUCAGCAAGAUCAAAUAACUAUCAUCCAAGAAGAUCCUAUAGGUUAAACUUGGCACAAACACUAAUUAAAACAUAAAAACACAUGUAACCAGAGGCUAGAUCAAAUAUUUAUUCCUAAACAAAAGAAAAAAUCAUAAAAACUAAAAAUAAAAUUGGGUUGCCUACCAACAAGCGCUAUCGUUUAACGCCCCUAGCUAGGCAUAAUAGCAAUGAUAGAUCUAGGUAUUGCCAUCUUUGGUAGGCAAUCCAUAAGUGGCUCUCAUAAUAGAUUCAUAAGGUAAUUUUAUUUUCUUUCUAGGGAAGUGUUCCAUGCCUUUCCUUAAUGGAAAUUGGAAUCUAAUAUUCCCUUCCUUCGUAUCAAUAAUUGCACCAAUCGUUCUAAGGAAAGGUCUACCAAGAAUAAUAGGACAUGAAGGAUUGCAAUCUAUAUCAAGAACAAUAAAAUAUAUGGGCACAUAAUUCCUAUUUGCAACAAUAAGAACAUCAUCAAUUCUUCCCAUAGAUUUCUUAAUGGUGGAAUCCGCAAGGUGCAAGUUUAAAGAGCAAUCAUCAAAAUCACGGAAACCUAGCAAAUCGCACAAAAUCUUUGCAAUCGUGGAAACACUAGCACCCAAAUCACACAAAGCAUAGCAUUCAUGAUCUUUAAUUUUAAUUUUAAUAGUAGGUUCCCACUCAUCAUAAAGUUUUCUAGGGAUAGAAACUUCCAACUCAAGUUUUUCUUCAUAAGAUUGCAUCAAAGCAUCAACGAUAUGUUUAGUAAGGCUUUAUUUUGACUAUAAGCAUGUGGAGAAUUUAGCACGGAUUGCAACAAGGAAAUACAAUCUAUCAAAGAGCAAUUAUCAUAAUUAAAUUCCUAGAAAUCCAAAAUAGUGGGUUCAUUAAUAUCUAGAGUUUUGAUUUCUUCAAUCCCACUUUUACCAUUUUUUGCAUCAAGAUCUAAAAACUCCGAAUUUUUGGAACGCCUUCUAGGUAGAGGUGGAUCAUAUUCAGUCCCAUCAUUAUCAAGAUUCAUAUUGCAAAACAAAGAUUUAAUAGGGGACACAUCAAUAACUUUUAGAUCUUCAUCUUUAUUUUCAUAGAAACUAGAAGAACACGCUUUCACAAAACAAUCUUUCUUAGCACGCAUCCUAGCGGUUCUUUCUUUGCACUCAUCAAUGGAAAUUCUCAUGGCCUUGAGAGACUCAUUGAUAUCAUGCUUAGGAGAAAUUGUAUCAGCGUUCCUAGCCAAUUCAUCAAAUUUAAGCAAUUUUUCUUCAAGCAAAGCAUUGAAAUUGUUUUGCGAAUUCAUAAAUUCUUUAACACUAGUCUCAAAUUCAGAAGGCAUCUUAUUAAAAUUUCCAUAAUAAUUGUUGUAGGAAUUACCAUAAUUAUUAGAGGAAUUACUAGGAUACGACCUUGGAUUAAAGUUUCCUCUAUACGCGUUGUUACCAAAAUUAUUCCGACCAACAAAAUUCACAUCCAUAGAUUCAUUAUUAUUCUCAAUCAAAGUAGACAAAGGCAUAUCAUUAGGAUCAGAAGAAACACUUUUAUUAGCAAAUAAUUUCAUAAGUUCAUCCAUCUUUCCACUCAAAACAUUAAUUUCUUCUAUCGCAUGCACUUUUUUAUUAGUGGAUUUUUCGGUGUGCCAUUGAGAAUAAUUAACUAUAAUAUUAUCUAGGAGUUUAGUAGCUUCUCCUAAAGUGAUUUCCAUAAAAGUGCCUCCCGCGGCCGAAUCUAAAAGAUUUCUAGAAGAAAAAUUCAAUCCGGCAUAAAAUUUUUGUAUAAUCAUCCACAAAUUCAAACCAUGAGUAGGGCAAUUACGUAUCAUUAAUUUCAUCCUCUCGCAAGCUUGUGCAACAUGUUCAUGAUCAAGUUGCUUAAAAUUCAUAAUAUCAUUUCUAAGAGAGAUGAUCUUAGCGGGAGGAAAAUACUUAGAGAUAAAAGCAUCUUUGCACUUAUUUCAAGAAUCACUACUAUUUUUAGGCAAAGACAAAAACCAAGCUUUAGCACGAUCUCUAAGCGAAAAAGGAAAUAGCUUCAAUUUAACAAUAUCUUUGUCCACAUCUUUCUUCUUUUGCAUAUCACACAAAUCAACGAAGUUGCCAUGUCUAGGAAUGCUUGAAGCUUCAAAGAUUUCCUAUAAUACAACAUGCCUCUAACUAUUCACAAUAAGAAAAACAUGUAAAUGCGGAAUCAACCAAAUGAUGGUAAAUUGUAGUUGAUUUUGGCCAAGCAAACGUGAGAUGAAAGAAACAUACAUGAGUGAACAUCACGAUUGGAUGUUUUAUUCAAAUUUAACAGGUUAAACUCACCAAAUCCAUCUGGAUAUUUAGUAUUAAACUUUAACAGAUGGUCAGUUGUAGCUAGAUUCACACCACUGAAGCAAAAUUCCAUCUGCCACGGUUACAUCACACCAUCUUUUCAUCGUUACUAUUUAAAUUCCAAAUGCCUGCAACUCAUUUUUUUGUUAUGAUGUAUGCAUGAUUUUUAACUCAAGAGGAAGAGGGGAAACUAAAUCCAAGAAAAGAACACCAAGGAAGCAUCCAAAAUAGAGAAAGGAAAAAUCCAAAAUAGAGGCAGAAUCGAAGGGAAGAAACCCCAUAAAAAAUAGGAGAUCAAACGGUGAAAAAAAUCUAAGAGUCAAACAAUUCCAGGUAAGACCAAAUCGACGGCAAAAUAGCACAAGAGGGACUCACAUUAACAGGUAUACCAGGUAUACCAAUUCAGAAAGAAGUGUAAAGCGAACAGUGCAAUGGACCACUAGUAUAAAUUGGAUGUACACAAACAUGGGACUUAAACAGGAACUGCGAGAUGCAGGGUUCACGUGCAAACCCAAAAAACGGAAAACUGAAACCCACAACAAGAUUUUAUCUUCAUGUUUGUGUAUUAGUUGCUUCUUCCGAAUCCCCACCUAUCAAGCGUUUUCUCUGAAUAAACAAACAGAAUAGUAUUCUCUGAAUUAUACUGUACAACGGUAUUUAACAAAGCGACUGGAAUUAACAAUAUUAUGAGCUAUUGGCUUUUUAGUCAGGUAAAUAUCAUUCUUAAGACUACGGAAAACAGCAGGCGGCGAAGAAAACAUCUAUUGAUGAGAACUAUACACAUACUUAAGAAGGAAGUGACAUCUAUGGUAGCAGAACAUAUAUCAAGCUGUUGCAGCUACAUUAGCAGUUUAGCACAGUUCCUCCAUAAUACACAGGCUAGUGUAAUUUCACAAAUACAAUAAGCUAACAAUAUAUAUUUGGUAGAUGGAAAUGGCUGGAUCAUGACCAAUAUACCAUUACACAUCCGAUGAUGCAAAUAAAGAAACGAGGCCCAACAAUAGUGGAAAAUAAACCACAAUAGAACAUGUAUUUGGCGAAACCUCCAUACUGCAAUAUCAAACAUGAAUUGAAAUUAACAAUCUAGCAAAAAAACAUGACAGAUGCAGUCUUGGUCAUUUUUCCUUUUGUGACAUCCCCUAAAAAAGUAAAAACAAUGUUGUUCGUAUUUUACCAGAGAUACACUGAGCUGGGACAAUUCGGUCUGAAAUAAAAUAUGAUGGCUUCGGAGGAUUCGGAAGGCAAGAAAUUUGCUUUCUUCCAACAUAUAUGGUCUGCUGAACUAAACUUCGUUUCAACGGGCUUUGGCAAAAAUUUGUAACUGCAAACAUCAACUUGUGUGCCCGUCCUACGUCAAACUUUAACCCUGACGGAUUAAAUAUUUUAGGUUAGGCUGAGAUCAGUGUACUUUAUGAGUGUUAAGUGUACUUUCUAAAUAGCAGAGAAACCAUAACAUCUAAGCACAACCCAGCAACUUGUACAAGCUAACAUCAAAUCUGAAAGAGGAAAUGUCGAGAACAGGUGAAGGUACCAUGAUCCACGACUGAGCAAAGUUAUCUAUAAUCCUCGGUGAAUAUCAUAAAUUAGGAUCAACUACGCUGAAGAACAAACGGGAAAGGAACCUAGAAAGAUCUUCUGCCGGUAGAAUAUAACUGAUACACUAUCCUCAUUCUCGAGAUCAAGGUCGUUUCUUGAAUUGCAGUUUCCUCACUGUAGUAUGGGGUCAUUACACUGCGAAGAACAAAGUGUCAUAUGAAUCAUUUAGAGCCCAAUAUUUUUCACUGAAACUCUUAUGAUCACAUAACGAAUUUAAACAUAAGGUUUAUUAGAUAUUUGUUGUUGUGAACAGAUAAUAUAUUUCUGGUGUUGACAAUGUUUUGAUUAUGGAUGCACUUCAAGAUGGGUGGCACAGAUUCUGUUGUACAGGCCUCCACCUGGAAUUUCAUCACUUGUUAUUUUUGUUUUAGAAUGUCUAGGUGCAUUUUUCCUUUAAGGUGGAAACAGAUGUACUUGUAUAAGCAACAAGAAUACAAAGCGCCACUGCCAUACAUUGUGGAAGUUCAGUGCUUCUGUUUACAAAAUCUGCUUCCCAAAACAGAAGGAUUUAUAAUUUUUUAUUACAAUCAAGCGGACAUGAGCUGAUGAGUACAGAUGUAGACAUGUACUGAGAGCAGCACCCUUUCAAAAGUGGAUCAUUUACAAGUUGGAUAGUUUGAUGGUCUGAAAUUAGUGGUCGUGUUUCAGAAUUGUUAUCGAAUAGUAGGGGAUAUAUAUUAACUUCUGAAAUUAGUGGCUGUUUGUCAGAACUGUUAUCGAAUAACAGAGCACAUAUAUUAACUUCAAUAAGUGGAGUAAUAUUUUUGGAUUCGCUGUGAGGAAAGAUUACCAAAACAAAACAGAAGUGAGUGCGAGGACCCAGAUCAAGGCGCUCUUGAGCCUCUUCCCGACCGACCUAGAUGCAGGAGCAGAACACGGCGGAUCUAAUCAGCCAACGAAUAAAGCUGAGGCAGGUAGAGGAAGUAAGGGAGGAAGAAGACUGACUUUUCCUGGUCGCCCUCGUAGUAGAACCUGUGUUUUGAUUUUCGGCCGAAAAAAGUGGAUUUCGGCCAUCUCGGCCUGGGGCGAAAAGUGUAUUUAGGCCGAAAUUGUUCAAAUUUAGCAAAUUUUGGUCAAAUUUAAGUCAAAUUGCAGUCAAAAUUUGGUCAAAUUUCAGCCGAAAUUUUUGAAAAUGGCCGAAAUUCGGCCAUCUCAGCCUAGGGAGAAAAAAAAGCUCAAACCGAAAAUCAAAACACAGAGUAGAACAUGGCGAACAGGAUGACGAGGAAGACGAGGACAGCGUCGAGGAUGUAGACGACGAGCCAGAGCGUGUUCAUGGGCAGGAUCAAGCAUGGGCAGGAUAAGGGCGCAGGCCCCGUUGUAGGCGGCGUGCUUGCAGGCCUGGCGGUUGGCGACGUCGGCGGGGAGCAUGAGGAUGGCGAGGACGGCGACGGUGAUGCCGAGCACGACGACGAGCUUGAGGAAGUAGGCCUGGUUGGCAUCAUCCGGCUGCUGGUAGUUGACGAGCAGGUAGACGCUGACGAGGAGCACCAGGAUGCUGACCACCGCCGCCACGAUCACUAGCGCCACGUUAAAAACCCCAUCUCCUCGGGGCUCCGGUCCCGGUUCCGGCCCGCCGCCUCGCCCCCAUUGGUCGGUCAGAUCUCUCUGUCCCUAGAGGCGGGGGGACACAGGCUAGGGUUUGGGCGUGGGCGGGGAAUAGGCUGCUAUGGUGCCGGCAGCGGGGCGUGUAGGAGAGAAGGAUUAGGAGGAAUAAUUCACCACACUUUGCUUAAGCUCUCGGCUGGUUCUUAUGUAUAGAUUACAGGGCCAGCCAGGGAGAUCAUGGGGUGAUCCACUACCUGGGAUCGUGCGCCACGAUCACUACAUGCGUGCGCCACGAUCAUAUACACACACGCUACACCUAGUGUCUACGCAACUACGGUAUAGCAGUACAGUACAGUCUAACACCCCCCCGCAGUCGUGACGUCGUCGGCGGCGACGCAAAGACUGGACCGGAACUCAGAGAAAACAUCCGAUGGCAGGCCUUUGGUCAUGAUGUCCGCGAGUUGUUGGCGCAUGGGGAUGUGAAGAACACGGAAGUGGCCGAGGGCGACGCGCUCCCGCACGAAAUGGAUGUCCAGCUCCACAUGCUUAGUGCGGCGAUGAUGCACCGAAUUGGCUGACAGGUAGACUGCGGACACAUUGUCAUAGUACACCAGUGCCGCCUUGGUCACUGGAGCGGAGAGCUCGCCGAGAAACUGGCGGAGCCAGAUGCAUUCAGCGACCGCGUUGGCAACGCCGUGGUAUUCAGCUUCGGCACUGGAGCGCGAUACGGUCGCCUGGCGCUUGGAGGACCAGGAGAUGAGAGCAUCGCCGAGGAAGACGCAGAAGCCCGACGUGGAGCGUCGGGUGUCGGGGCAGCCGGCCCAGUCCGCGUCGGUGAACGCACGGACGUCGAGCGUGGUCGAGGCGCGAAGAUGAAGCCCGAGUGUGCAGGUGCCCUUCACGUACCGGAGCACGCGCUUGACGAGCGCGAGGUGACAUUCGCGCGGGUCAUGCAUGUGCAAGCAGAUUUGCUGGACGGCGUAGGCGAUCUCUGGGCGCGUGAUGGUGAGGUAGUGCAGGGCCCCGGCGAUGCUCCGAUAGGCUGAGGGGUCGUCGACGCAGGGCCCAUCGGCUGAGGGGAGUUUGCUCUUCGUGUCGAUGGGUGUCGGGGAAGGGUGGCAGGUGUCCAUGCCGGCGCGUUCCAGGAGUUCGUCGGCAUAUUGUUGUUGCGACAGGAAGAAGCCAGCUCGGGUGCGGGUCACGCGGAUGCCGAGGAAGAAGGCGAGCGAGCCCAGGUCCUUCAUGGUGAAUUCGCCUGUGAGGCGUUGGAUGACAUGGUGAAGCACGCGUGACGAGGACGCGGUGAGCACGAUGUCGUCGACGUAGAGGAGGAGGAACGCCAUGUCGUUGCCGUGCCGGAAGGUGAACAGCGACGAGUCCGAACGCGUAGCUGCGAAGCCAAUGGAGCGGACGAAGCCGGCGAAGUGGAGGAACCAGGCACGGGGCGCCUGCUUGAGCCCGUACAAGGACUUGGAGAGGCGGCGAACGUGCUCUGGUUUGUCGGGGUCGACGAAUCCGGCGGGCUGGAGGCAGUAGACUUCCUCCUCCUAGUUGCCGUGGAGGAAGGCGUUGGAGACGUCGAGGUGGUGCACCGGCCAGCCGCGUGACGCGGCCAGAGUGAGCACCGUGUGGAUCGUCGCUGGCUUGACGACGGGGGAGAACAUCUCGCCGUAGUCGACGCCGGCACGCUGAUGAAAGCCCCGCACGACCCAGUGUGCUUUGUAGCGGGCCAGCGCGCCGUCGGCGUCGUUUUUGUGCUUGAAGAUCCACUUCCCUGUGAUCAGGUUGGCGCCCGGGGGGCGGGCACCAGCUCCCACGUGCGAUUGCGCACGAGCGCAUGGCACCGAGCCAGUUCGGGUCGCGAACAGCAGCGCGAAGCGAACGUGGCACCGGCGACACCGAUGAUGAGGUAGAGGCGGUGGCCGCGUCGUAGUAGCGUGGGUUGGGGCGGAAGAUGCCGCGCUGGGCACGCGUGACCAUGGGCACAGGAGGCGCCGGUGCGCGGCGCGCCGCUGGUGGCGCGCUCGGAGACGAGCUGUCGGAGGAGCCGCUGGCGGAGUUGUCGGAGGAGCCGCUGGCGGAGGCGAAGACAGGCGGACCAGGCGCGGAUGGGCACGUCGAGGAUGGAGCCGAGCCGCCAUCGGAAGCGCCCGCAGCGUACCGCGAGCUGACGCGGCGCGCCUCGCUGGUUGGCGAGGAUGAGCGGGGCAGGCCGGUGAUGGAGAUCGGGCGCGCCGGCAGCACGGGUGACAUGCUGCUGUCAGGCACCAGUGGAAGCGCGGGCAGCGCAGGAGGCCGGACGACGAGCGGGAUCUGCAGGGUAGAGGGUAUGACGGGUGGCGUAGGCGACGGGGAAGAGGAUGCGAACGGGAAAACGUGUUCGUGGAAGAGAACGUGGCGAGACGUGAGGACGCGGCGAGAGGUGAGGUCAAAGCAGCGAAAACCACGAUGAUCGGGAGGGUACCCGAGGAAGACGCAGGCGAUAGAACGUGGCUCGAGCUUAUGGCGGGUGGUGGCGGUGACGUUCGGAUAGCAGAGGCAUCCAAAGACGCGGAGCUGCGAGUAAUCUGGGGCGACGCCGAGCAGGAGUUCAUGCGGAGUGCAGGGCGCCGAGGCGCGGUAGGGCCGACGAUUGAGCAGGUAGGUCGAGGUGUUGAGAGCCUCUGCCCAGAAGCGAGCGGGCAUGUGCGCAUGACAGAGAAGCACACGAACGCCGUCGUUGAUCGUGCGGAGAACUCGCUCGUCCUUGCCGUUCUGCUGACUGGUGUAUGGGCAGGUGAGACGGAAGUGUGUGCCGUGGCGAGCAAGCAGAGAGCGCACGGCUGCGCUGUCGAAUUCACGACCAUUGCCCAUUUGCAGUGCAAGUAUGGGUAACUGAAACUGAGUCUGAACAUAGGCAAAGAAAUCAACAAGUAUGGGAAGAACUUCAGACAUGUGUUUCAGAGGGAAAGUCCAGACAUAGUGACUGAAAUCAUCUAGUAUAACUAAGUAAAACUGAUAGCCGGAUAUGCUUACAACGGGAGCGGUCCAUACAUCAAGGUGUAAAAGCUGGAAAGAACUAGCAGUGGUGGAUGUCUGAAACGGGAGCCAGGUGUGUUUGCCAACACGACAGGCAUGACAGACAGGCGGAUCACGGCAGAACUCCAGGGACUGAUCAACAGCAACAGUGCGGAGUGCGGCAGCCCCUGGGUGGCCAUGCGUUGGUGCCGGGUGCAGGCGUGGGGUACGCCGGGGGAGGGCGGGGAGCCUGGGAGGACGGCGUGGGCGGGCCACCAAUGCCGUUGCCACGUCUGCGGCGGCGUCCGCGCCCACGCCCUUGGUUGGUGUUGCUGGGCGGGGGUGUGGGUGGUGUAGGAGAGCCGCCACGCCCGGCGACGAGAGCGUGCGCAGACUGCUGGCGAGUGGUCGACUGCUCUGCUCGGUGUUCCUCAAGCAGGACGAAGGAGCGCACCUGCAGGAACGACGGGAGCGGGACCUGCGAGGUGAUGUGAGGGAUGGCGGAGUGGAACUGCUGGUUCAGACCGCGGAGCAGGUUGAAGACCUGCCGCGAGUCGGUUACCGGCUGCCCGAGGUCGCGGAGUCGAUCCGUGAACGACUUCAUCUUGGUGCAGUACGCCAUGAUCGACAUGUCGCCCUGAACGACAUAGUGGUACUCGGCGUCGAGGUAGACAGCGCGAGCGAGGUGGUUGUCGCGGAAGAUUCCAUCGACCGCAGUCCAGAUGGCCAGAGCAGUGUCGUCCGGCUGCAUGACGACGUCGAGCAGGUCCGGCGAUAUGGUAGUGUAGAACCAGUGGACGACGACGUGAUCAGCCAUGCCCCACUCGGGAUCAUCGUGGCGGUGGAUGGCCAUGGCGUCGACGUGAGUGCGGAGGCCGAACAUGCCGAUGACGGUGUCGAAGUGGCGGCGCCACUGCGUGUAGUUGCCGGCGAGAAGGUCGAGGGUGACCGGGACAUGACGACGGAUGUCCACGGUCUGCAGGAUCGCGGAGGCGACAGGUGCUGUAGGAGGAGGAGGAGGGAUGACGGGCACCGCGGGCGCGACAGGUGCUGGAGCCGGCGGUGCGUUGGCCAGGGGGACAGCGUUGAGGACGCCGUCGGCGCCGUGCUGCGAGGAGCGAGGGGACACGACGGGGUUGUCAUCCAUGGCGGUGGAAGCGGGACUGGCGACCUGCGCGAAGGGAUUGAGCAGGUCGGGGGAGUCUGAUACCAUAUAGGAAAGAAGGAUUAGGAGGAAUAAUUCACCACACUUUGAUUGAGCUCUCGGUUGGGUCUUAUGUACAGAUUACAGGGCCAGGGAGAUCAUGGGGUGAUCCACUACCUGGGAUCGUGCGCCACGAUCACUAUAUGCGUGCGCCACGAUUAUAUACACACAUGCUACAACUAGUGUCUACGCAACUACGGUAUAGCAGUACAAUAAAGUCUAACAGGGCGGCCACCGGCGGGGAGGGCGGGAUCCGUGCGGGGUGGCGGGAUUUGGGCAGGCGGUGGGCUCGGGGGAGGGCGAUGGCAGCGAAGCAGCAAGGAGGGGCUGGAGGAGAUGAAACGAAAGAGGUCGCGUGACACAGCGACAGCGUAGUCCAAUCCCCUCGCUGCUGAUUUAAAAAAAAGGUAAUGAUAACUCCCGAACGUUCGGGAGUUAAGCAUGGCAACCCGAACGGGUUUAGAUGGCAAGUUUAGUUUGCGUGAGAUUAGGGAAACAUGGCAAUUUUCUGACAAAAGAAAUGAAAAAGGACGAAGUUGCCAUCCCCUAUCAACUAAAGUUGCCAUCCCCUAUAAAUUAAAGUUGCCAUGUAAAAACGUUCGGGACGAAAUGCUCAAAAUCCGAACGUUCGGAAGUUACUGGAUUCAAAAAAAUCCCCUUGCUGCCAAUCGCUGGCCCGUUUCUUUUUUCGCCCAAUCGCUAGGUGAUGACGUGGCUAUCGCGGGAAGGCGCCCUUGAUGCGUAGUCGAAUGGUUUUAAUUAAUAGGAAACGAGUGCUUACUCUAGUUACUGAAUCAUGUACACCAAAUAAAGCCAUUUACACGUAGUUAAUGACAAAAAAAGUUGAUGUUUGCUACGCAAAUGUGUAGUACAAAUUAAGAAGUGCAAGAUUAAAAAAAAAUGCUGGUCCUUGAUUCGUUGUUGAUCGUCAGCAUGCCAUCAUCAAUUUGUAGUUAAUUAUCAUACAAAUUGGCUCUUUCAUAGAGUUGGAGGCUAGCUCCUUUGAUCAGCACGCGCUUAAACACAAACAGCACGUAUAUGUUUUGUCUCCGGAGUUCAAUUCUUCAUCGGCCAGCAAAAAUGGCCCGACCGGGUAGAGGAAAAGGCAUGUUUGUUAGUACGCCUGGAGGAAAUGCCUUUGAUUACGGCAUCUUCAACAGCGACCAGUAAAUUUCCUUCCGCGUUCGUUCACGGAUAGGGGAUCAGUCUGCGGAUACGAAUACAGGAAUCAUCCAUCCAACGCUGUCCGCGUAUAUUUCAAACACAUUUUUUUUUUAAAAUAGGAUGAAAUUCAUGCAAACACAAUGGAUUUCAUACAAACCGGACAAAAAUGUUUACAUUUUGGACAUAUUUUUUUACUAAAAACUCUACAGCCGGCGCCGGCGAAUAUCCACCCCGGCGACAUGGAUACCCUUGACUAGUCUACUGCCGGCCGCAGCGGAUCUCCAAUGUCGUCCCCAUAUCCGGCAGCUAUGAGCCCUAGAGGUAUAUGCUUCAGCGCAAAGAGCGGCUCGCCUCCCUACCGCUCAUCGGAGUGGAACAACCAGCUGAUGCUUCUGCCGAUGGAAAGGGUCCCUACGCUACACGGAUUAGAGUUGGUUUUCGGCUGGGAACGGCGGUGGCCUGCCAGAGGGCAAGACACCGACUGUGUAUGCUGGUGUCACCUGGUGUGGCAUUCGUGGGACCCAAGCGGCAGCGCCUCCUCGAUGAUGGCGGCGAGCGCGGACGUGUUUGACACCACCUCGUCGAUGUCCGUGCAGCCGGCUUCUUUCUCUGUAGGAAGGACGCGGUUACGCUUGCGUUGACAUCGGAUGACUCGGUCACAUGCACGGGAGGGGCGGUACGACAUGGCACCGCCAAUGGCAGCCAUGAUGCCCACGCCACCGUGCUCCCUCCCAGUGCCGAUCUAGAGCAACUUGCCACUCCUCUGCUCGUGACCGGUGGGCUUGACGGGCCACCUAGCCAUUUUUUAUGCCAGACAACUCUUCUUCCUGCUCGUCAGAUGUCAUGGAUAAAACUGUUUAAGGAGGAAAAUGAUGAGUGGACGUGUGAUGCGGUUCUUGCCCAACAUCUGACAUUGUUUAAAUAGCGAGGGGAGACGAGAGGAGCCAACCGGCGUACUGUUUAAUGCCAACCGGCUCGCGAACGAACAUGUGGCCGGAGUAAUUAUCCUAGCACACACGCGGGUUUAAUGGUGGAAGGCGGGCAGUCUGCAGGAAUGAGGCGAGGAUGUGUGCUUAGCCGGCGUGCAGCAGGCGGCGCCCUCGGCCGGCGUGCUGCUUCCAUUGCGGAGGCAGUGAGAGGUCGCGUCCGCUCUGCAGCGCAUGAAUGCGGGCAGCUGGCGCAGAGCGGGAACGCGUGCGGGCGAGGGAGGAGGGGGUUUGGGCGGGUGGUCAGAAGAGGUCGUGGGUGUUGUCCGAACGCCUGCAAAGCCCCCCUCCAUGUUUGUCUCCAGUUUGCGGGAGAAAGUACGUCCGGACCGUCUCCAAUGGACCAAUACAGGCCCGCAUUGGAUAGCACAACACGUCCGGACCAUGUGGUCCGGAUGGUUGUGGACAGUUUAAUUGAGGGUCGGCGUUGGAGAUGCCUUAGAGUUUAUGAAUCCAUUGUGUUUUUCUAAUCAUAAAAAAUCACUUACAAUAAGUUAUAAGGAAAGACACGUUUAUAUGUUAGGUUCAGACUCCAGCUUUCGUUUUACAUAUGCUUUAUUCAUCCGACUGAUUCCAAUAGAGUGAGCCUAGCGUUGUUUUUCUGGAAACUCGCGGGAUAAGGAGACAUGCAUACACAUUCUUUCAAGCAAAUCACAUCCAUUUUUUUUAACUCAUUUUUCUUCUUUUAAUAAUAUAAUAGAUCAUUUAUAUUUUUUAUCUGAAACAGUUGACGUGUAAUUUAUAUUGUAAUCUGAGGAUAAUGUUUGGAUUUUACUUUCAAAUAUAUUUGAAAUGGCCAUGAUGGAAUCACAUCCAUUUAUUUUAUUAUUAUUUGAAUUUGAUCCAAAAGAUAAAUAAUGAGUAGAGGUCAUGUCAACUUUUCUGAGAACUUUGCUAAUCAAAAUAUAAAUUGUAUUUAAAAACAUCUAUUUUUUAGCACGCAUGAAAAACAUAACACGUAUCUUUUCACACAUAAUGAACGGUUGUCAUAAGAACUCAUGCCAUGCCACAACCUCCCUCCGACCCUGCCAACAUUGUUGCAGCUGCACUCGCAAGCCUUAGCGUAGAUGAUAAUUUAUACAAUUUGCGUAAAACAAAAUAAGAUCUACAAAUGAAUAGAAGCUAGAACGUACAUUGGCAUGCACACACAUUGCAAGCCAUACUAAGCUGAUAAGUGUUAAUAACUUGUACAACAUAUACAACACUUAAGACAAGUAAAAGCAAUUUGAUGAGUCAUGGUCUAUCAAAGCCACAUUACUAGUCUAAUCCAUCUUAACAGGUCACACAUGAUUAAAAUCUUGUUUGUGUGCAAGUCAAGCUUAUCUAGUUUACAUGUAACAACUUGUAGAACAUUACAAAAUUUAUGUUUGCUAAUAACUUCUAGAACACUACAACACUUGACAUGUAAAAGGAAUUUGAUGAGUCAUGGCCUACUAAAGCAAGUUAUAUUACUAGUCUUAUCUACCAUAACAGGCCACACAAGAUUACAAACCAAGUUCUGUGCCAGCCAUGCUUAUCUAGUUUAUGCGUAACAAUUUGCAGAAAAUUACAAACUUAGUUUCAGAAAAAUAGGCAAUCUAGAUUAGUGUUUGAGCUGUAAAGUGAAUAAAAUGAGUCAUGCGUGUUAUCACACCUUUUUGGUUGUGGAAUGAUAGUGCAACAACAAGGAACUUUAAUGACCAGUUCAAGAAUACACUUGUAAGUAGUGCCACCGAACACAACAUACCAAAUUAUGAUUUUGAGAAGCAUCCAAGCACAUCCACACAAGCAAAUGCCAAUUGUGAAAGAGAUCAUGCCAUGGCAGCUAUAAAUAGGCCCGUAGCAUGACGAUCAUCCUUCCUCAUCCAUCAUUCUCAUAAGUAGAGCGCAUCAUUUAAGCCAAGCAAGCAGUGCUCAAUACAAAUCCACCAUGAAGACCUUUCUCAUCCUUGCCCUCCUUGCUAUUGUAGCAACCACCGCCACAAUUGCAGUUAGAGUUCCAGUGCCACAAUUGCAGCCACAAAAUCCAUCUCAGCAACAACCACAAGAGCAAGUUCCAUUGGUACAACAACAGCAAUUUCCAGGGCAGCAACAACCAUUUCCACCACAACAGCCAUAUCCGCAGCCGCAACCAUUUCCAUCACAACAACCAUAUCUGCAGCUGCAACCAUUUCCGCAGCCGCAACUACCAUAUCCGCAGCCGCAACCAUUUCGACCACAACAACCAUAUCCACAACCGCAACCACAGUAUUCGCAACCACAACAACCAAUUUCACAGCAGCAGCAGCAGCAGCAACAACAACAACAACAACAACAACAGAUCCUUCAACAAAUUUUGCAACAAUAACUGAUUCCAUGCAGGGAUGUUGUAUUGCAACAACACAGCAUAGCGCAUGGAAGCUCACAAGUUUUGCAACAAAGUACUUACCAGCUGGUGCAACAAUUGUGUUGUCAACAGCUGUGGCAGAUCCCCGAGCAGUCGCGGUGCCAAGCCAUCCACAAUGUUGUUCAUGCUAUUAUUCUGCAUCAACAACAACAACAACAACAACAACCGUUGAGCCAGGUCUGCUUCCAACAGCCUCAACAACAAUAUCCAUCAGGCCAGGGCUCCUUCCAGCCAUCUUAGCAAAACCCACAGGCCCAGGGCUCUGUCCAGCCUCAACAACUGCCCCAGUUUGAGGAAAUAAGGAACCUAGCGCUAGAGACGCUACCUGCAAUGUGCAAUGUCUAUAUCCCUCCAUAUUGCACCAUUGCUCCAGUUGGCAUCUUCGGUACUAACUGAGAAUAGAAUAACUCUAGUAGUAGAUAUAUGAUACACCGUUUUCUUAGUCCAUGGUUUGGUCGUUGUAGCGGUGAAAAAAUAAAGUGACAUGCACUAUCAUGUAAGAACCCGAACUAUACUAUUUCAAACAUGGGAAUAAAAGACAAACACAUGUCUUGUCUACAUAUGAUUGUUUGUUUGAGUUCCACUCAUGUGCCCACUCACAAGUUCACCCCUAAUUAUAUAUAUUAUGCAUUAAGUAGAUAUUUAUGUUGCAUUAAUCUAAAGAUAACAAAAUGAGUCUGAAAUUUGAAUUAAAUUGAAGUAUUUCCUUGGACUUUCAAAUGGAGUAUUAUUAAAGUAGUAAGGACUAUCCACAUCCUUGGCUUGCCCUUGAUCAAUUAUUUCCAGAGAAGCAUUCAAUUCAUCAAUCAAUUACAUUGAUUUUUGUGGCUGGUACUUCUCCUCAACAUGAGUAUAUUCAUCGCGGCUACUCCAAAUAGCCAUGAAUGAGGUACCGGUGCUCUGGAGCACUGGUACCUAACUGCUUCUCAUGUGAAGGGGUGCGGGCGCGGGAGAGGUGUUUUUGGUGGGCCAGGGGAGUAAGAAGCGGCCGUGGCAGCGGUCCAGACGCCCACAAAGCCCCGUAGUUUGUUUUUGGUUUACAGGAAAAUGCACAUCCAGACUGGCCUGCGGGCCGAUAUAGGACCGUAUUGGAUGGCAAAACAUGUCCGGAUGGUCGCGAGCGGUUUAAGGGUUAGCUUUUGUAACACCCGGUUAGUUAUGCUAUGGUAAUUCCCUGCUAAUGAUGUCACGUCAGCACGAUUACUGUUGUUAACCUCACAAUGAUUCAAUCCCAUUCAAAUUCAAAUUUAAAAUAAAGGCAAACAUCAAAAGUUUCAAACAUUAAAACUAAAAUCUUCGAGAGGUGAAAAAUAAUGCAUAAGUAAUUAUGGUGGAGAAACCACACUUUUAUAAAAUGUUUAAAUACUCUAAAAAUAAUAAAACAGUGGCUUAAACUAUUAUUUAAAUGCUUUUAAAAUAGUAAAAAUGUUCUAACUAAAUUAAUUGGGUACCAAACUUUUGGUGGCAGUGGUAUAUUUAGUAGAACUAAUUUAGAUGCUAAUAAAACAUAAAAGGAAAGACAAAACAAAUAAAAGUAAAAGGGGGCAACCCUUGGCUGGGCCUCGGCCAAGCUGGGCACUUGGCUAGCUAGGUUGGCCCAACCGCCUCCCUUAACCCCCCACUCCCCAUCGAACCCUAGACCGAUCGCCCCACUUCCCCCCCACCCCCUCGUCAGCCUCCCCACCUCUCGAUCCCAUCUGGAUCGGGGAGGGGAUCGCCUUCAUCGACCCCGUCGCGGUCGCUGGAUCGCCCGCUCGCCCAUCGCCCGCCGGCGUCGCCGGACCUCCUCCCCGUCGCAUGUCUCCGGCUCUCCUCCCCUCUCGCUCCUCUUCCCCGACCCGAUCUAGAUCGGGAAGGGCCAAUGAGCCCAACGCCCCCCUCCAUCGACGCUGUGCUCCAGCACCGCCGCCCGAAGACCUCGCCAUCGCCGGACCUCGCGUCGCCUCCUCGUAUCCCUCCCCGACUCGCCUCCUCAAGCCACGCCGACCCCCUCUCGGCAACGCCGUGAGCCGCACCCGUUUCCCUCCUUCUCUUUCCACCGUGUUCACCGCGCCGCCUGCCGUGCCCCUCGCCGCGCGCACGCCCACCACCGCGCCAGCCCCCGCUCCCGCCCUCUCCUGCACGCUUGUGCGCGCAUGACCCUAGCCGCGCCCACGCCGUGAUCCCCUUGUCCCGCCCGCCUUCGUCCCGCGCUCGCCGCGGCCCCCAUGCUCCCCUGCGCCCUCUUUUGGGGCCGUCGGCUGCCCCUGUCCCGCAGCUCGCUGGCAUGCGUCCCCGCCUGCGCCUCGCCACCGCUCUACUGCUACGCUACUAUUGCGCUGUGGCCGCCGCCGCUUCCCGCUGCUCUGCCAGCGCCAAAGCUCCUGGUUGGCCCUGCCGCUGCUCGCGUUUAACCGCCGGCCUAAGCGGCCUAACCUCCCCCCUCGCUAAUGAACCCCCACCGACCCGCUGACACCGGGACCCACAUCCCCUAAUUAACCAUUUAAUAAAUUAAAACUCUUAAAUUAACAUUAGUGUAUGACAUGUGGGUCCCCUAUUAAUUAAACUGAUUUAAUUAAAAUCUAUUAACUUUGAGUCUAUGACAUAUGGGCCCCACUAAACAUUUGACCAAUCAACGGUCCAGUCAAAUGCUGACCGGACAGUUGACCAGAGGGCCCCGCCAGUCAGCCAAUGUGCUGUUCUGCUGGGUACCUUUCUAAGUACACCUAGCAUUUUGCAUUUACAAUAUUUGUUUUAAAAUAAAUUAGAAUAAUUUCAAAAAAAUAUUAAAACUUUUAAAAUUAAAAUAAAAUAAUCCGUAACUCGGAUGAAAUUACUUUAUACAUGGAAGUUGCUCAAAAAAUGAGACGAAUCCGAAUACACAGUCCGUUCGUCUGCCACGCGUCCCUAGCAUAGCGAACAUGCAACCAUCCCCCUCCGGUUCGACUGUCCGAAAAAUUAUUAUUGCACAUGCCCGCUAAGAGGUUGGCUGUAUAUGACAUGACAACUUCUUAUAGCCGAGCCUUGGCUGUAUUAUUAACCAUGCUCUUAGUGAGGUAGCUAGUAUAUCAUAGACGACUAGCUAGUAUCAGACUAGCCAAAGUGGGAGUAACUUCAGCAGUAACAUCGACUCCAACUCAGCAAACUUCCUUAUGUGGGAGUAAACCGUGCCCAAUGCAAAAUACAAUCCCAGUCGUAAUUUUUUCAGGAAACGUGUGGGAUCCCAAACGAAAAGCACACGUCACUCUUGCGGCAACCGUCGGUGACACCCAAUAAAUCACAAACGGUCUGCAGCAGCUGUAUGUGUGCAAAGGGGCUCCUGAACCGUUUGUGAUAGAACAUUAUCGCAGACGGUAAUUGUUGGCAAACGUGUGCGAUGGAGUCUAGCAUGGCAGACGGGUUACGCAGAAAACUCGUGUGUGAUGGGGCACAAAUCGCACACAGUUCAUAUGUUGGUCCAUGUGCCUUACAUACUAUUUCCCAAAUGGUUUGUUACGACAGACCGUAUCGUUUCAGUGCGUCAUUAGAAACGCUUAAUCACUGAUACCACACGUGCGAAAGAAAUUAGUGCGUGAUGCAUCGCACACGAUUACAUUUUGGAAGGCCUCUGGAUCACUGCUCCAUAUCCCCGACGGUUUCUGGGCCGUGUGGGAAGGACACCCUAUCGCACACACUCACUUGGCGAUGGUUCCAAAUGCUGUCGCAGAAAAGGGUUAAAAACAGUUUGUUUAGGACCGACGCGUACCAGUGUCUAUCUAUCUAUCUAUCUAUCUAUCUAUGUAUCUAUCUAUCUAUCCAUCUAUCUAUCUAUCUAUCUAUCUAUCUAUCUAUCUAUCUAUCUAUCUAUCUCAAUCCACCUAUCUAUCUAUCCAUCUAUCUAUCUCUCCAUCUAUCCAUCUAUCUAUCCAUCUAUCCAUCCAUCUACUAUCCAUCUAUCUAUCCAUCCAUCCAUCUAUCUAUCCAUCCAUCCAUCUAUCUAUCUAUNNNNNNNNNNNNNNNNNNNNNNNNNNNNNNNNNNNNNNNNNNNNNNNNNNNNNNNNNNNNNNNNNNNNNNNNNNNNNNNNNNNNNNNNNNNNNNNNNNNNNNNNNNNNNNNNNNNNNNNNNNNNNNNNNNNNNNNNNNNNNNNNNNNNNNNNNNNNNNNNNNNNNNNNNNNNNNNNNNNNNNNNNNNNNNNNNNNNNNNNNNNNNNNNNNNNNNNNNNNNNNNNNNNNNNNNNNNNNNNNNNNNNNNNNNNNNNNUCUAUGUAUCCAUUUAUCCAUUGAUCCAUCUAUCGAUCCAUCCAUCCAUCCAUCUAUCCAUCAAUCUAUCUAUCCAUGUAUCCAUGUAUCCAUCUAUCCAUCUAUCGAUCUAUCCAUCCAUCUAUCUAUCUAUCUAUCCAUCUAUCCAUCUAUCGAUCUAUCCAUCUAUCUAUCUAUCCAUCCAUCUAUCGAUCUAUCGGUCUAUCCAUCUAUCGAUCUAUCCAUCUCUCCAUCUACCCAACUAUCCAUCUAUCCAUCUAUUCAUCUACCGAUCUAUCUAUCCAUCUAUCUAUCUAGCUAUCUAGCUAUCUAGCUAUCUAUCUAUCUAUCUAUCUAGCUAUCUAGCUAUCUAUCUAUCUAGUUAUCUAGCUAUCUAUCUAUCUACCUACCUACCUACCUACCUACCUACCUAUCUAUCUAUCUAUCUAUCUAUCUAUCUAUCUAUCUAUCUAUCUAUCUAUCUAUCUAUCUAUCUAUCUAUCUAUCUAAAGGAAAUAUGCCCUAGAUGCAAUAAUAAAGUUGUCAUUUAUAGUUCGUUAUAUCAUGAUAAACUAGCGGAGUCACCCGCGCAUUUGCGCGGCUAGAUUGACUACAUAUAUUGUUAUAUUUGGGAUUAUUUUUCUAUGCCAAUUUUAUGGCCUCUUACUCAGAUAUUAUCUAAUUGAAUUUACCACCACCAUAUGUUAUAUCCAUAGAUUAUAAUGAAAAGGCAACUUCCGACGAAACAUGGACAGAUUAUUGAGUGCUCAGAAGACGGACGCAAUAUCAUAUAUAGACUUCUAUACCAAUCUUCAUGGUUCCCAUCUUUGAUCCUCUCCUCGUCCCUUGGUAUCUAUCUUUGCACCCAAUAUGUCUUUGGAGUUCCAAGAAUUGAAUCUUAGCAUGAAUGGCUUCAAUGUGUACCAAAUGUUCUCUUGUUCCUCCCAAAUUAAUUACUGGUUGCAUUCUUAGUUGCUUUGACAUUCUUGGUUAAUGCAAUUUCUUGCCUACCAAUAUAUGCAUCCACACACGAUCAUAUUUAUAUGACCACUUACCUCUGUAUUCUGGUAUUUGUGCUUCAGAAUUUUUCUCUCAUUCAGUUUAUUCAUAGAUUAAAAACGUCGAUCGUUUCUUUAUUGGUUUGCAUUAUCUUGUUUGCCGAACGUAAGCAUCCACACAUGCUCGUCAUGAUAUGAUUGGUCAUCAUUGUAUAUUUGUAUUUGUGUGUUGAUAGCUUAAGGAUUUUCUCGGAUUCACUUCAUAGUUUAAGGAUUUUCUCGCGUUCAAUUUAUUCUACCUUAUUCAUUUUCAUGUUUCUUUAUUGCAUUUAUAUCAAUUCUUACAAUAUAUUUUCCAAGAUAUGAACUCAACUACUAAUUACGUAGUUUUUCAUCAAAAAUUACAUGUAAAAAUGUUACAAAUGCAUAAACAUGAUAAAAAUAUAUAUCAUAUUCCAUUGAGAGAUCGCCCAUUUAAAAAAAACACGUUGACUUACAAAAAGGACAAUUCAAGCUGCAUGUACGUCCGACUCAUGUUUACCUGACAAUGUCGAUGUUGAUUUCAGCAGUAAAUGAGCUGUGUGUGACCUUUGCGCUUUCCGGUAUUCUUCUAACCUGUGUGCUUUAUGAUCAGUUUGUUGUGCUUAGUACUGGACACUUGAGUAUACUAUCAUAUUUGGUACAAAUAAAUCUGAACUACUAUAGUUAUGAUCCACUGUAUAGUUAAUGGUGGUGGUAAUUAAUAUAUGUGGUUAAAUACUUGCGCUCCUUAGGUGGGGAGUUGGAUUUGUAUUUCCCUAAAAUAAAUUUCAGAUUUCGUAAUAGUGGUGAAGCCAGCCGGAAGAACCUCUGCGUCAUUAUUAAUUUUGGUGAUAUUUUUCUUCAUAGUGUAGAAUAAUUUUAGUGCUUAUUCCGCAAAAAAUAUGGCCUCAACUGACCCCAUAGCUUGUAUGUUGCGCCACCACUGUUUCCUAUAUCCUAUUACAUCCGUUGUUUUUAGAUCUUGAUGCAUAACUUUGACAAUAUUUAAUAGAUAUGUGUCUGUAUAAAAAAUUAUAAAUGCUAUGAUAAUUUGAUUAAUUAUGAUGAAUAAAAUGUUAUUGCUCUGACUUGAUCCCUCUAGAAUUUUCCAAAAUUUCACAUUACAGUUGUAGUAGUGCAUGCUACCUCUUGAGCACUGCGUUAGUUUUCCCUUGAAGAGGAAAGGGUGAUGCAGUAAAGUAGCGUCAGUAUUUCCCUCGGUUUUUGAGAACCAAGGUAUCAAUCCAGUAGGAGGCCACGCAUGAGUCCCUCGCACCUACACAAACAAAUAAAAUCCUCGCAACCAACGCAAUAAAGGGGUUGUCAAUCCCUUCACGGUCACUUACGAAAGUGAGAUCUGAUAGAUUUGAUAAGAUAAUAUUUUUGGUAUUUUUAUGAUAAAGAUGCAACGUAAAGAAAGCAAAAUAAAAAAAGCGCCAGAAAUAGCUUGUUGACGGGAGAUUAAAAUAGACCGGGGGGCCAUAGGUUUCACUAGUGGCUUCUCUCGAGAGCAUAAGUAUUUUGGUGGGUAGACAAAUUACUGUUGAGCAAUUGACAGAAUUGAGCAUAGUUAUGGGAAUAUCAAGGUAUGAUCAUGUAUAUAGGCAUCACGUCCGAGGCAAGUAGCCCGACUCCUGCCUGCAUCUACUACUAUUACUCCACACAUCGACUGCUAUCCAGCAUGCAUCUAGAGUAUUAAUUUCAAAAGAACAGAGUAACGCUUUAAGUAAGAUGACAUGAUGUAGAGGGAUAAACUCAUGCAGUAUGAUAUAAACCCCAUCUUGUUAUCCUCGAUGGCAACAAUACAAUACGUGCCUUGCUGCCCCUACUGUCACUGGGAAAGGACACCGCAAGAUUGAACCCAAGCUAAGCACUUCUCCCAUCGCAAGAAAGAUCAAUCUAGUAGGCCAAACCAAACUGAUAAUUCGAAGAGACUUGCAAAGAUAACCAAUCAUACAUAAAAGAAUUCAGACAAGAUUCAAAUAUUGUUCAUAGAUAAACUUGAUCAUAAACCCACAAUUCAUCGGUCUCAACAAACACACCGCAAAAGAAGAUUACAUCGAAUAGAUCUCCACAAGAGAGGCGGAGAACAUUGUAUUGAGAUCCAAAAAGAGAGAGGAAGCCAUCUAGCUAAUAACUAUGGACCCGAAGGUCUGAGGUAAACUACUCACACAUCAUCGGAGAGGCUAUGGUGUUGAUGUAGAAGCCCUCCAUGAUCGAUGCCCCCUCCGGCGGAGCUCCGGAAAAGGCCCCAAGAUGGGAUCUCACGGGUACAGAAGGUUGCGGCGAUGGAAUUAGGUUUUUGGCUCCGUAUCUGGUAGUUUGGGGGUACGUAGGUAUAUAUAGGAGGAAGAAGUACGUCGGUGGAGCAACGUGGGCCCCACGAGGGCGCGCCCCCCUACCUCGUGCCUUCCUGGUAGAUUUCUUGACGUAGGGAACAAGUCCUCUAGAUAACGUUCGUUCCCAAAAUCACGUUUCCGAAGGUUUCAUUCCGUUUGGACUCGGUUUGAUAUUCUUUUUCUGUGAAACUCUGAACUAGGCAAAAAACAGCAAUUCUGGGGUGGGCCUCCGAUUAAUAGGUUAGUCCCAAAAAUAAUAUAAAAGUGUAUAAUAAAGCCCAUUAAUGUCUAAAACAGAAUAUAAUAUAGCAUGGAACAAUAAAAAAUUAUAUAUACGUUGGAGACGUAUCAAGCAUCCCCAAGCUUAAUUCUUGCUCGUCCUCGAGUAGGUAAAUGAUAAAAACAGAAUUUUUAAUGUGGAAUGCUACUUGGCAUAAUUUCAAUGUAAUUCUCUUAAUUGUGGUAUGAAUAUUCAGACCCGAAAGAUUCAAGACAAAAGUUUAAUAUUGACAUAAAAAUAAUAAUACUUCAAGCAUACUAACUAAGCAAUUAUGUCUUCUCAAAAUAACAUGGCCAAAGAAAGUUAUCCCUACAAAAUCAUAUAGUCUAGCUAUGCUCUAUCUUCACCACACAAAGUAUUUAAAUUAUGCACAACCCGGAUGACAAGCCAAGCAAUUGUUUCAUACUUUUGAUGUUCUCAAACUUUUUCAAUCUUCACGCAAUACAUGAGCAUGAGCCAUGGACAUAGCACUAUAUGUGGAAUAGAAUGGUGGUUGUGGAGAAGACAAAAAAGGAGAAGAUAGUCUCACAUCAACUAGGCGUAUCAACGGGCUAUGGAGAUGCCCAUUAAUAGAUAUCAAUGUGAGUGAGUAGGAAUUGCCAUGCAACGGAUGCACUAGAGCUAUAAGUAUAUGAAAGCUCAACAAAAGGAACUAAGUGGGUGUGCAUCCAACUCGCUUGCUCAUGAAGACCUAGGGCAUUUUGAGGAAGCCCAUCAUUGGAAUAUACAAGCCAAGUUCUAUAAUGAAAAUUUGCCACUAGUACAUGAAAGUGAUAUCAUAGGAGACUCUCUAUCAUGAAGAUCAUGGUGCUACUUUGAAGAACAAGUGUGGUAAAAGGAUAGUAACAUUGUCCCUUCUCUCUUUUUCUCUCAUUUUUUUAUUUGGGUCUUUUAUCCUUUUUUAUGGCCUCUUUUUUUUAGUCCGAAGUCUCAUCCCGACUUGUUGGGGAAUCAUAGUCUCCAUCAUCCUUUCCUCACUUGGGACAAUGCUCUAAAAAAUGAUGAUCAUCACACUUUUAUUUACUUACAACUCAACAAUUACAACUCAAUACUUAGAACAAAAUAUGACUCCAUGUGAAUGCCUCCGGCGGUAUACCGUGAUAUGCAAUGAAUCAAGAGUGACAUGUAUGAAAGAAUUAUGAACGGUGGCUUUGCCACGAAUACAAUGUCAACUACAUGAUCAUGGAAAGCAAUAUGACAAUGAUGGAGUGUGUCAUAAUAAACUGAACGGUGGUAAGUUGCAUGGCAAUAUAUCUCGGAAUGGCUAUGGAAAUCCUAUGGUAGGUAGGUAUGGUGGCUGUUUUGAGGAAGGUAUAUGGUGGGUGUAUGAUACCGGCGAAAAGUGCGCGGUAUUAGAGAGGCUAGCAAUGGUGGAAGGAAGAAAGUGCGUAUAAUCCAUGGACUCAACAUUAGCCAUAAAGAACUCAUAUACUUAUUGCAAAAAUCUACAAGUUAUCGAAGCAAAGUAUUACCCGCAUCAUCCUAGGGGGAUAGAUUGGUAUGAAAAGACCAUCGCUCAUCCCAGACCGCCACUCAUAAGGAAGACAAUCAAUAAAUAAAUCAUGCUCCGACUUCAUCACAUAACGGUUCACCAUACGCGCAUGCUAAGGGAAUCACAAACUUUAACACAAAUAUUUCGCAAAUUCAAAACUACUCAACUAGCAUGACUCUAAUAUCACCAUCUCCAUAUCUCAAAACAAUUAUCAAGUAUCAAACUUCUCAUAGUAUUCAACACACUCAUAAGAUUUUUUUACUAAUCUUGAGUGCCUAUCAUAAUUAAAGCAAAUUACCACGCUGUUUUGUAGGACUAUCAAAAUAAUCUAAGUGAAUCAUGAGAGAACAAUAGUUUCUAUAAAACAAAACCACCACCGUGCUCUAAAAGACAUACGUGAAGCACUAGAGCAAAAACUAUAUAGCUCAAAAGAUAUAAGUGAAGCACAUAGAGUAUUCUAACAAUUUCCGAAUCAUGUGUGUCUCUCUCAAAAGGUGUGUACUGCAAGGAUUAUUGUGGCAAACUAACAAAUAAAUACUUCAAAUAAUACAAGACGCUCCAAGAAAAACACAUAUCAUGUGGUGAAUAAAAAUAUAGCUCCAAGUAAAGUUACCGAUGGAAGUAGACGAAAGAGGGGAUGCCUUCCGGGGCAUCCCCAAGCUUUGGCUUUUAGGUGUCCUUAGAUUAACUUGGGGUGCCAUGGGCAUCCCCAAGCUUAGGCUCUUGCCACUCCUUGUUUCAUAAUCCAUCAAAUCUUUCACCCAAAACUUGAAAACUUCACAACACAAAACUCAGCAGAAAAUCUCGUGAGCUCCGUUAGCAAAAGAAAACAAAACACCACUUCAAGGUACUGUAAUGAACUCAUUCUUUAUUUAUAUUGGUGUUAAACCUACUGUAUUCCAACUUCUCUAUGGUUUAUAAACUAUUUUACUAGCCAUAGAUUCAUCAAAAUAAGCAAACAACACACGAAAAACAUAAUCUGUCAAAAACAGAACAGUCUGUAGUAAUCUGUAACUAACGCAAUUUUCUGGGACACCAAAAAUUGACCCAAAAUAGGAAGACCUAGACAAUUUUUUUAUUGAUCAGCAGCAAUUGGGAUCAAUAUUUUAUCACGUCCUGGUGAUUUUUAACAAUUAUUUUCGUGAACAGAAAGUUUCUAGAAUUUUCAGCAAGAUCAAAUAACUAUCAUCCAAGAAGAUCCUAUAGGUUAAACUUGGCACAAACACUAAUUAAAACAUAAAAACACAUGUAACCAGAGGCUAGAUCAAAUAUUUAUUCCUAAACAAAAGAAAAAAUCAUAAAAAACUAAAAAUAAAAUUGGGUUGCCUCCCAACAAGCGCUAUCGUUUAAUGCCCCUAGCUAGGCAUAAUAGCAAUGAUAGAUCUAGGUAUUGCCAUCUUUGGUAGGCAAUCCAUAAGUGGCUCUCAUAAUAGAUUCAUAAGGUAAUUUUAUUUUCUUUCUAGGGAAGUGUUCCAUGCCUUUCCUUAAUGGAAAUUGGAAUCUAAUAUUCCCUUCCUUCGUAUCAAUAAUUGCACCAAUCGUUCUAAGGAACGGUCUACCAAGAAUAAUAGGACAUGAAGGAUUGCAAUCUAUAUCAAGAACAAUAAAAUCUACUGGCACAUAAUUCCUAUUUGCAACAAUAAGAACAUCAUCAAUUCUUCCCAUAGGUUUCUUAAUGGUGGAAUCCGCAAGGUGCAAGUUUAAAGAGCAAUCAUCAAAAUCACGGAAACCUAGCAAAUCGCAUAGAAUCUUUGGAAUCGUGGAAACACUAGCACCCAAAUCACACAAAGCAUAGCAUUCAUGAUCUUUAAUUUUAAUUUUAAUAGUAGGUUCCCACUCAUCAUAAAGUUUUCUAGGGAUAGAAACUUCCAACUCAAGUUUUUCUUCAUAAGAUUGCAUCAAAGCAUCAACGAUAUGUUUAGUAAGGCUUUAUUUUGACUAUAAGCAUGUGGAGAAUUUAGCACGGAUUGCAACAAGGAAAUACAAUCUAUCAAAGAGCAAUUAUCAUAAUUAAAUUCCUUGAAAUCCAAAAUAGUGGGUUCAUUAAUAUCUAGAGUUUUGAUUUCUUCAAUCCCACUUUUACCAUUUUUUGCAUCAAGAUCUAAAAACUCCGAAUUUUUGGAACGCCUUCUAGGUAGAGGUGGAUUAUAUUCAGUCCCAUCAUUAUCAAGAUUCAUAUUGCAAAACAAAGAUUUAAUAGGGGACACAUCAAUAACUUUUAGAUCUUCAUCUUUAUUUUCAUAGAAACUAGAAGAACACGCUUUCACAAAACAAUCUUUCUUAGCACGCAUCCUAGCGGUUCUUUCUUUGCACUCAUCAAUGGAAAUUCUCAUGGCCUUGAGAGACUCAUUGAUAUCAUGCUUAGGAGAAAUUCUAUCAGCGUUCCUAGCCAAUUCAUCAACUUUAAGCAAUUUUUCUUCAAGCAAAGCAUUGAAAUUGUUUUGCGAAUUCAUAAAUUCUUUAACACUAGUCUCAAAUUCAGAAGGCAUCUUAUUAAAAUUUCCAUAAUAAUUGUUGUAGGAAUUACCAUAAUUAUUAGAGGAAUUACUAGGAUACGGCCUUGGAUUAAAGUUUCCUCUAUACGCGUUGUUACCAAAAUUAUUCCGACCAACAAAAUUCACAUCCAUAGAUUCAUUAUUAUUCUCAAUCAAAGUAGACAAAGGCAUAUCAUUAGGAUCAGAAGAAACACUUUUAUUAGCAAAUAAUUUCAUAAGUUCAUCCAUCUUUCCACUCAAAACAUUAAUUUCUUCUAUCAUGCACUUUUUAUUAGUGGUUUUUUCGGUGUGCCAUUGAGAAUAAUUAACCAUAAUAUUAUCUAGGAGUUUAGUAGCUUCUCCUAAAGUGAUUUCCAUAAAAGUGCCUCCCGCGGCCGAAUCUAAAAGAUUUCUAGAAGAAAAAUUCAAUCCGGCAUAAAUUUUUUGUAUAAUCAUCCACAAAUUCAAACCAUGAAUAGGGCAAUUACGUAUCAUUAAUUUCAUCCUCUCGCAAGCUUGUGCAACAUGUUCAUGAUCAAGUUGCUUAAAAUUCAUAAUAUCGUUUCUAAGAGAGAUGAUCUUAGCGGGAGGAAAAUACUUAGAGAUAAAAGCAUCUUUGCACUUAUUUCAAGAAUCACUACUAUUUUUAGGCAAAGACAAAAACCAAGCUUUAGCACGAUCUCUAAGCGAAAAAGGAAAUAGCUUCAAUUUAACAAUAUCAUUGUCCACAUCUUUCUUCUUUUGCAUAUCACACAAAUCAACGAAGUUGCCAUGUCUAGGAAUGCUUGAAGCUUCAAAGAUUUCCUAUAAUACAACAUGCCUCUAACUAUUCACAAUAAGAAAAACAUGUAAAUGCGGAAUCAACCAAAUGUUGGUAAAUUGUAGUUGAUUUUGGCCAAGCAAACGUCAGAUGAAAGAAACAUACAUGAGUGAACAUCACGAUUGGAUGUUUUAUUCAAAUUUAACAGGUUAAACUCACCAAAUCCAUCUGGAUAUUUAGUAUUAAACUUCAACAGAUGGUGAGUUGUAGCUAGAUUCACAACACUGAAGCAAAAUUCCAUCUGCCACGGUUACAUCACACCAUCUUUUCAUCGUUACUAUUUAAAUUCCAAAUGCCUGCAACUCAUUUUUUUGUUACGAUGUAUGCAUGAUUUUUAACUCAAGAGGAAGAGGGGAAACUAAAUCCAAGAAAAGAACACCAAGGAAGCAUCCAAAAUAGAGAAAGGAAAAAUCCAAAAUAGAGGCAGAAUCGAAGGGAAGAAACCCCAUAAAAAAUAGGAGAUCAAACGGUGAAAAAAAUCUAAGAGUCAAACAAUUCCAGGUAAGACCAAAUCGACGACAAAAUAGCACAAGAGGGACUCACAUUAACAGGUAUACCAAUUCAGAAAGAAGUGUAAAGCGAACAGUGCAAUGGACCACUAGUAUAAAUUGGCUGUACACAAACAUGGGACUUAAACAGGAACUGCGAGAUGCAGGGUUCACGUGCAAACCCAAAAAACGGAAAACUGAAACGCACAACAAGAUUUUAUCUUCAUAUAUAUAUAUUAUGAGCUAUUGGCUUUUUAGUCAGGUAAAUAUCAUUCUUAAGACUACGGAAAACAGCAGGCGGCGAAGAAAACAUCUAUUGAUGAGAACUAUACACAUACUUAAGAAGGAAGUGACAUCUAUGGUAGCAGAACAUAUAUCAAGCUGUUGCAGCUACAUUAGCAGUUUAGCACAGUUCCUCCAUAAUACACAGGCUAGUGUAAUUUCACAAAUACAAUAAGCUAACAAUAUAUAUUUGGUAGAUGGAAAUGGCUGGAUCAUGACCAAUAUACCAUUACACAUCCGAUGAUGCAAAUAAACCACAAUAGAACAUGUAUUUGGCGAAACCUCCAUACUGCAAUAUCAAACAUGAAUUGAAAUUAACAAUCUAGCAAAAAAACAUGACAGAUGCAGUCUUGGUCAUUUUUCCUUUUGUGACAUCCCCUAAAAAAAGUAAAAACAAUGUUGUUCGUAUUUUACCAGAGAUACACUGAGCUGGGACAAAUUGGUCUGAAAUAAAAUAUGAUGGCUUCGGAGGAUUCGGAAGGGAAGAAAUUUGCUUUCUUCCAACAUAUAUGGUCUGCUGAACUAAACUUCGUUUCAGCGGGCUUUGCCAAAAAUCUGUAACUGCAAACAUCAACUUGUGUGCCCUUCCUACGUCAAACUUUAAACCUGAGCUCAGUGUACUUUAUGAGUGUUAAGUGUACUUUCUAAAUAGCAGAGAAACCAUAACAUCUAAGCACAACCCAGCAACUUGUACAAGCUAACAUCAAAUCUGAAAGAAGAAAUGUCGAGAACAGGUGAAGGUACCAUGAUCCACGACUGAGCAAAGUUAUCUAUUAUCCUCGGUGAAUAUCAUAAAUUAGGAUCAACUACGCUGAAGAACAAACGGGAAAGGAACCUAGAAAGAUCUUUUGCCGGUAGAAUAUAACUGAUACACUAUCCUCAUUCUCGAGAUCAAGGUCGUUUCUUGAAUUGCAGUUUCCUCACUGUAGUAUGGGGUCAUUACACUGCGAAGAACAAAGUGUCAUAUGAAUCAUUUAGAGCCCAAUCUUUUUCACUGAAACUCUUAUGAUCACAUAACGAAUUUAAACAUAAGGUUUAUUAGAUAUUUGUUGUUGUGAAUAGAUAAUAUAUUUCUGGUGUUGACAAUGUUUUGAUUAUGGAUGCACUUCAAGAUGGGUGGCACAGAUUCUGUUGUACAGGCCUCCACCUGGAAUUUCAUCACUUGUUAUUUUUGUUUUAGAAUGUCUAGGUGCAUUUUUCCUUUAAGGUGGAAACAGAUGUACUUGUAUAAGCAACAAGAAUACAAAGCGCCACUGCCAUACAUUGUGGAAGUUCAGUGCUUCUGUUUACAAAAUCUGCUUCCCAAAACAGAAGGUUUAUAAUUUUUUAUUACAAUCAAGCGGACAUGAGCUGAUGAGUACAGAUGUAGACAUGUACUGAGAGCAGCACCCUUUCAAAAGUGGAUCAUUUACAUGUUGGAUAGUUUGAUGGUCUGAAAUUAAUGGUCGUGUUUCAGAAUUGUUAUCGAAUAGUAGGGGAUAUAUAUUAACUUCUGAAAUUAGUGGCUGUUUGUCAGAACUGUUAUCGAAUAGUAGGGCACAUAUAUUAACUUCAAUAAGUGGACUAAUAUCUUUGGAUUCGCUGUGAGGAAAGAUUACCAAAACAAAACAGAAGUGAGUGCGACGACCCAGAUGAGGGCGCUCUUGAGCCUCUUCCCGACCGACCUAGAUGCAGGAGCAGAACACGGCGGAUCUAAUCAGCCAACCAAUAAAGCCGAGGAAGUAAGGGAGGAAGAAGACUGACUUGUCCUGGUCGCCCUCGUAGUUAGAACAUGGCGAACAGGAUGACGAGGAAGACGAGGACAGCGUCGAGGAUGUAGACGACGAGCCAGAGCAUGUUCAUGGGCAGGAUCAAGCAUGGGCAGGAUAAGGGCGCAGGCCCCGUUGUAGGCGGCGUGCUUGCAGGCCUGGCGGUUGGCGACGUCGGCGGGGAGCAUGAGGAUGGAGAGGACGGCGACGGUGAUGCCGAGCACGAUGACGAGCUUGAGGAAGUAGGCCUGGUUGGCAUCAUCCGGGUGCUGGUAGUUGACGAGCAGGCAGACGCUGACGAGGAGCACCAGGAUGCUGACCACCGCCGCCACGAUCACUAGCGCCACGUUAAAAAACCCAUAUCCUCGGGGCUCCGGUCCCGGUUCCGGCCCGCCGCCUCGCCCCCGUUGGUCGGUCAGAUCUCUCUGUCCCUAGAGGCGGGGGAUACAGGCUAGGGUUUGGGCGUGGGCGGGGAAUAGGCUGCUAUGGUGCCGGCAGCGGGGCGUGGAGGAGAGAAGGAUUAGGAGGAAUAAUUCACCACACUUUGAUUAACCUCUCGGCUGGGUCUUAUGUACAGAUUACAGGGCCAGCCAGGGAGAUCAUGAGGUGAUCCACUACCUGGGAUCGUGCGCCACGAUCACUACAUGCGUGCGCCACGAUCAUAUACACACACGCUACACCUAGUGUCUACGCAACUACGGUAUAGCAGUACGGUACAGUCUAACACCCCCCCCCCCCCGCAGUCGUGACGUCGUCGGCGGCGACGCAAAGACUGGACCGGAACUCAGAGAAAACAUCCGAUGGCAGGCCUUUGGUCAUGAUGUCCGCGAGUUGUUGGCGCGUGGGGAUGUGAAGAACACGGAAGUGGCCGAGGGCGACGCGCGCCCGCACGAAAUGGAUGUCCAGCUCCACAUGCUUAGUGCGGCGAUGAUGCAUCGGAUUGGCUGACAGGUAGACUGCGGACACAUUGUCACAGUACACCAGUGCUGCCUUGGUCACUGGAGCGGAGAGCUCGCCGAGAAGCUGGCGGAGCCAGAUGCAUUCAGCGACCGCGUUGGCGACGCCGCGGUAUUCAGCUUCGGCGCUGGAGCGCGAUACGGUCGCCUGGCGCUUGGAGGACCAGGAGACGAGAGCAUCGCCGAGGAAGACGCAGAAGCUCGACGUGGAGCGUCGGGUGUCGGGGCAGCCGGCCCAGUCCGCGUCGGUGAACGCAAGGACGUCGAGCGUGGUCGAGGCGUGAAGAUGAAGCCCGAGUGCGCAGGUGCCCUUCACGUACCGGAGCACGCGCUUGACGAGCGCGAGGUGGCAUUCGCGCGGGUCAUGCAUGUGCAAGCAGAUUUGCUGGACGGCGUAGGCGAUCUCUGGACGCGUGAUGGUGAGGUACUGCAGGGCCCCGGCGAUGCUCCGAUAGGCCGAGGGGUCGUCGACGCAGGGCCCAUCGGCUGAGAGGAGUUUGCUCUUCGUGUCGAUGAGUGUCGGGGAAGGGCGGCAGGUGUCCAUGCCGGCGCGUUCCAGGAGUUCGUCGGCAUAUUGUUGUUGCGACAGGAAGAAGCCAGCUCGGGUGCGGGUGACGCGGAUGCCGAGGAAGAAGGCGAGCGAGCCCAGGUCCUUCAUGGCGAAUUCGCCUGUGAGGCGCUGGAUGACAUGGUGAAGCACGCGUGACGAGGACGCGGUGAGCACGAUGUCGUGGAUGUAGAUGAGGAGGAACGCCAUGUCGUUGCCGUGCCGGAAGGUGAACAGCGACGAGUCCGAACGCGUAGCUGCGAAGCCAAUGGAGCGGACGAAGCCGGCGAAGCGGAGGAACCAGGCACGGGGCGCCUGCUUGAGCCCGUACAAGGACUUGGAGAGGCGGCAGACGUGCUCUGGUUUGUCGGGGUCGACGAAUCCGGCGGGCUGGAGGCAGUAGACUUCCUCCUCCAAGUUGCCGUGGAGGAAGGCGUUGGAGACGUCGAGGUGGUGCACCGGCCAGCCGCGCGACGCGGCCAUAGUGAGCACAGUGUGGAUCGUCGCUGGCUUGACGACGGGGGAGAACGUCUCGCCGUAGUCGACGCCGGCACGCUGAUGAAAGCCCCGCACGACCCAGCGUGCUUGCUAGCGGGCCAGCGCACCGUCGGCGUCGUUUUUGUGCUUGAAGAUCCACUUCCCUGUGAUCAGGUUGGCGCCGGGGGGGCGGGGCACCAGCUCCCAUGUGCGAUUGCGCACGAGCGCAUCGUACUCAGCACGCAUGGCACCGAGCCAGUUCGGGUCGUGAACAGCAGCGCGAACCGAACGCGGCACCGGCGACACCGAUGAUGAGGUAGAGGCGGUGGCCGCGUCGUAGUAGCGCGGGUUGGGGCGGAAGAUGCCGCGCUGGGCACGCAUGACCAUGGGCACAGGAGGCGCCGGUGCGCGGGGCGCCGUUGGUCGCGCGCUCGGAGACGAGCUGUCGGAGGAGCCACUGGCGGAGUUGUCGGAGGAGCCGCUGGCGGAGGCGAAGACAGGCGGACCUGGCGCGGAUGGGCACGUCGAGGACGGAGCAGAGCCGCCAUCGGAAGCGCCCGCAGCGCACCGCGAGCUAACGCGGCGCGCCCCGCUGGUUGGCGAUGAUGAGCGGGGCAGGCUGGUGAUGGAGAUCGGGCGCGCCGGCAGGACGGGUGACAUGCUGCUGUCAGGCACCGGUGGAAGCGCAGGCAGCGCAGGAGGCCGGACGGCGAGCGGGAUCUGCAGGGUAGAGGGUACGACGGGUGGCGUAGGCGACGGGGAAGAGGAUGCGAACGGGAAAACGUGGUCGUGGAAGAGAACGUGGCGAGACGUGAGGACACAGCGAGAGGUGAGGUCAAAGCAGCGAAAACCACGAUGAUCGGGAGGGUACCCGAGGAAGACGCAGGCGAUAGAACGUGGCUCGAGCUUAUGGCGGGUGGUGGCGGUGACGUUCGGAUAGAUGCGGAGUAAUUUGUGCGACGCCGAGCAGGAGUUCAUGCGGAGUGCAGGGCGCCGAGGCGCGGCAGGGCCGAUGAUUGAGCAGGUAGGUCGAGGUGUUGAGAGCCUCUGCCCAGAAGCGAGCGGGCAUGUGCGCAUGACAGAGAAGCACACGAACGCCGUCGUUGAUCGUGCGGAGAACUCGCUCGUCCUUGCCGUUCUGCUGACUGGUGUAUGGGCAGGUGAGACGGAAGUGUGUGCCGUGGCGAGCAAGCAGAGAGCGCACAGCUGCGCUGUCGAAUUCACGACCAUUGCCCGUUUGCAGUGCAAGUAUGGGUAACUGAAACUGAGUCUGAACAUAGGCAAAGAAAUCAACAAGUAUGGGAAGAACUUCAGACAUGUGUUUCAGAGGGAAAGUCCAGACAUAGUGACUGAAAUCAUCUAGUACAACUAAGUAAAACUGAUAGCCGGAUAUGCUUACAACGGGAGCGGUCCAUACAUCAAGGUGUAAAAGCUGGAAAGGAAAGAAACUAGCAGUGGUGGAUGUCUGAAACGGGAGCCAGGUGUGUUUGCCAACACGACAGGCAUGACAGACAGGCGGAUCACGGCAGAACUCCAGGGACUGAUCGGCAGCAACGGUGCGGAGUGCGGCAGCCCCUGGGUGGCCGAGACGUUGAUGCCACAGGUCGGUCGUGGCGGCGCCGGCGAAGAUGCCCGGGGAAUGGACGGAUGGCCGCACCACGGGAUAGAGAUCGCCGUCGGAGUCACAUCGGAGAAUCACUACCCUGGUUCGUAGGUCCUUGACAGAGAAACCACGAGCGUCAAAUUCAACAGAAACGGGGUAGGAACGACAAAGCUGCCGAACUGAAAGUAGGUUUUUGACGAGAGAUGGAGAGACGAGAACGUUGCGGAGAGGAAUGGGGGAAGUGCUGGUGAUCAGCGCGCCCGUGCCAACGUGGGUGAUGGGCAGGCGGUCACCACUGCCCACGAUGAUAGAUGCAGUAGUAGAGGACGGGCGAGUGGAGAGGAGAUUACCAGGGGAGGACGUCAUGUGCGCCGCGGCGCCGGAGUCGAGGUACCACUCCGGUGCGCUGCCAGAGGAGGAAGGGCUGGCCGAGGCGCUGUGGAGGGCGGCCUGGAGCGAGGCCAUGUCCCAUGGCUGGUGGGUUGCAGUCGACGAGCUGGCGCCGGGGUGCCCGUAGCCUGACAGGACGUCGGAGACGGGUGGAGUGACGCCGUAGCCGGGGAGGGUAGCGCCGUAGCCGUAUGGUGCAGCCGGCGACGGGGCGGCGAACAUGGCCUGCUGGUACGGCGUACCAGGGCGGGGGCCGAGCACUUCAGCUCCAGCCGCGCGCCAAGGCAUCGGCCAAGCCUGGACCAUGCCGGUCCAUGCGUUUGUACCGGGUGCAGGCGUGGGGUACGCUGGGGGAGGGCGGGGAGCCUGGGAGGACGGCGUGGGCGGGCCACCAAUGCCGUUGCCACGUCUGGGGCGGCGUCCGCGCCCACGCCCUUGGUUGGUGUUGCUGGGCGGGGGUGUGGGUGGUGUAGGAGAGCCGCCACGCCCGGCGACGAGAGCGUGCGCAGACUGCUGGCGAGUGGUCGACUGCUCUGCUCGGUGUUCCUCAAGCAGGACGAAGGAGCGCACCUGCAGGAACGACGGGAGCGGGACCUGCGAGGUGAUGUGAGGGAUGGCGGAGUGGAACUGCCGGUUCAGACCGCGGAGCAGGUUGAAGACCUGCCGCGAGUCGGUUACCGGCUGCCCGAGGUGGCGGAGUUGAUCCGUGAACGACUUCAUCUUGGUGCAGUACACCAUGAUCGACAUGUCGCCCUGAACGAUAGCGUGGUACUCGGCGUCGAGGUAGACAGCGCGAGCGAGGUGGUUGUCGCGGAAGAUUCCAUCGACCGCAGUCCAGACGGCCAGAGCAGUGUCGUCCGGCUGCAUGACGGCGUCGAGCAGGUCCGGCGAUAUGGUGGUGUAGAACCAGUGGACGACGACGUGAUCAGCCAUGCCCCACUCGGGAUCAUCGUGGCGGUGGAUGGCCGUGGCGCCGAACAUGCCGAUGACGGUGUCGAAGUGGCGGCGCCACUGCGUGUAGUUGCCGGCGAGAAGGUCGAGGGUGACCGGGACAUGACGACGGAUGUCCACGGUCUGCAGGAUCGCGGAGGCGACAGGUGCUGUAGCAGGAGGAGGAGGGAUGACGGGCACCGCGGGCGCGACAGGUGCUGGAGCCGGCGGUGCCUUGGCCAGGGGGACAGCGUUAAGGACGCCGUCGGCGCCGUGCUGCGAGGAGCGAGGGGACACGAUGGGGUUGUCAUCCAUGGCGGCGGAAGCGGGACUGGCGACCUGCGCGAAGGGAUUGAGCAGGUCGGGGGAAUCUGGUACCAUAGAGGAGAGAAGGAUUAGGAGGAAUAAUUCACCACACUUUGAUUAAGCUCUCGGUUGGGUCUUAUGUAUAGAUUACAGGGCCAGGGAGAUCACGGGGUGAUCCACUACCUGGGAUCGUGCGCCAGGAUCACUAUAUGCGUGCGCCACGAUUAUAUACACACAUGCUACAACUAGUGUCUACGCAACUACGGUAUAGCAGUACAAUACAGUCUAACAGGGCAGCCACCGGCGGGGAGGGCGGGAUCCACGCGGGGUGGCGGGAUUUGGGCAGGCGGUGGGCUCGGGGGAGGGCGGUGGCAGCGAAGCAGCAAGGAGGGGCUGGAGGAGAUGAAACGAAAGAGGUCGCGUGACACAGCGACAGCGUUGUCCAAUCCCCGCGCUGCCGAUUUAAAAAAAAGGUAAUGAUAACUCCCGAACGUUCGGGAGUUAAGCAUGGAAACCCGAACGGGUUUAGAUGGCAAGUUUAGUUUGCGUGAGAUUAGGAAAACAUGGCAAUUUUCUGACAAAAGAAAUGAAAAAGGAUGAAGUUGCCAUCCCUAUCAACUAAAGUUGCCAUCCCCUAUGAACUAAAGUUGCCAUGUAAAAACGUUCGGGACGAAAUGCUCAAAAUCCGAACGUUCGGAAGUUACUGGAUUCAAAAAAAUCCCCUUGCUGCCAAUCGCUGGUCCGUUUCUUUUUUCGCCCAAUCGCUAGGUGAUGACGUGGCUAUCGCGGGAAGGCGCCCUUGAUGCGUAGUCGAAUGGUUUUAAUUAAUAGGAAGCGAGUGCUUACUCUAGUUACUGAAUUAUGUACACCAAAUAAAGCCAUUUACACGUAGUUAAUGACAAAAAAAGUUGAUGUUUGCUACGCAAAUGUGUAGUACAAAUUAAGAAGUGCAAGAUAAAAAAAAAUGCUGGUCCUUGAUUCGUUGUUGAUCGUCAGCAUGCCAUCAUCAAUUUGUAGUUAAUUAUCAUACAAAUUGGCUCUUUCAUAGAGUUGGAGACUAGCUCCUUUGAUCAGCACGCGCUUAAACACAAACAGCACGUAUAUGUUUUGUCUCCGGAGUUCAAUUCUUCAUCGGCCAGUAAAAAUGGCCCGACCAGGUAGAGGAAAAGGCAUGUUUGUUAGUACGCCUGGAGGAAAUGCCUUUGAUUAGGGCAUCUUCAACAGCGACCAGUAAAUUUCCUCCCGCGUUCGUCCACGGAUAGGGGAUCAGUCCGCGGAUACGAAUACAGGAAUCAUCCAUCCAACGCUGUCCGCGUAUAUUUCAAACACAUUUUUUUUAAAAAUAGGAUGAAAUUCAUGCAAACACAAUGGAUUUCAUACAAACCGGACAAAAAUGUUUACAUUUUGGACAUUUUUUUUUACUAAAAACUCUACAGCCGGCGCCGGCGAAUAUCCACUCCGGCGACAUGGAUACCCUUGACUAGUCUACUGCCGGCCGCAGCGGAUCUCCGAUGUCGUCCCCAUGUCCGGCAGCUAUGAGCCCUAGAGGUAUAUGCUUCAGCGCAAAGAGCGGCUCGCCUCCCUACCGCUCAUCGGAGUGGAACAACCAGCUGAUGCUUCUGCCGAUGGAAAGGGUCCCUACGCUACACGGAUUAGAGUUGGUUUUGGGCUGGGAACGGCGGUGGCCUGCCAGAGGGCAAGACACCGACUGUGUAUGCUGGUGUCACCUGGUGUGGCAUUCGUGGGACCCAAGCGGCAGCGCCUCCUCGAUGAUGGCGGCGAGCGCGGACGUGUUGGACACCACCUCGUCGAUGUCCGUGCAGCCCGCUUCUUUCUCUAUAGGAAGGACGCGGUUACGCUCGCGUUGACAUCGGAUGACUCGGUCACAUGCACGGGAGGGGCGGUACGACAUGGCAUCGCCAAUGGCAGCCAUGAUGCCCGCGCCACCGUGCUCCCUCCCAGUGCCGACCUGGAGCAACUUGCCACUCCUCGGCUCGUGACCGGUGGGCUUGACGGGCCACCUAGCCAUUUUUUAUGCCAGACAACUCUUCUUCCUGCUCGUCAGAUGUCAUGGAUAAAACUGUUUAAGGAGGAAAAUGAUGAGUGGACGUGUGAUGCGGUUCUUGCCCAACAUCUGACAUUGUUUAAAUAGUGAGGGGACACGAGAGGAGCCAACCGGCGUUCUGUUUAAUGCCAACCGGCUCGCGAACGAACAUGUGGCCGGAGUAAUUAUCCUGGCACACACGAGGGUUUUAUGGUGGAAGGCGGGCAGUCUGCAGGAAUGAGGCGAGGAUGUGUGCUUAGCCGGCGUGCAGCAGGCGGUGCCCUCGGCCGGCGUGCUGCUUCCAUUGCGGAGGCAGUGAAAGGUCGCGUCCGCUCUGCAGCGCAUGAAUGCGGGCAGCUGGCGCAGAGCGGGAACGCGUGUGGGCGAGGGAGGAGGGGGUUUGGGCGGGUGGUCAGAAGAGGUCGUGGGUGUUGUCCGAACGCCUGCAAAGCCCCCCUCCAUGUUUGUCUCCAGUUUGCGGGAGAAAGUACGUCCGGACCGUCUCCAAUGGACCAAUACAGGCCCGCAUUGGAUGGCACAACACGUCCGGACGAUGUGGUCCGGAUGGUUGUGGACAGUUUAAUUGAGGGUCGGCGUUGGAGAUGCCUUAGAGUUUAUGAAUCCAUUGUGUUUUUCUAAUCAUAAAAAAGCACUUACAAUAAGUUAUAAGGAAAGACACGAUUAUAUGUUAGGUUCAGACUCCAGCUUUCGUUUUACAUAUGCUUUAUUCAUCCGACUGAUUCCAAUAGAGUGAGCCUAGCGUUGUUUUUCUGGAAACUCGCGGGAUAAGGAGACAUGCAUACACAUUCUUUCAAGCAAAUCACAUCCAUUUUUUUUAACUCAUUUUUCUUCUUUUAAUAAUAUAAUAGAUCAUUUAUAUUUUUUAUCUGAAACAGUUGACGUGUAAUUUAUAUUGUAAUCUGAGGAUAAUGUUUGGAUUUUACUUUCAAAUAUAUUUGAAAUGGCCAUGAUGGAAUCACAUCCAUUUAUUUUAUUAUUAUUUGAAUUUGAUCCAAAAGAUAAAUAAUGAGUAGAGGUCAUGUCAACUUUUCUGAGAACUUUGCUAAUCAAAAUAUAAAUUGUAUUUAAAAACAUCUAUUUUUUAGCACGCAUGAAAAACAUAACACGUAUCUUUUCACACAUAAUGAACGGUUGUCAUAAGAACUCAUGCCAUGCCACAACCUCCCUCCGACCCUGCCAACAUUGUUGCAGCUGCACUCGCAAGCCUUAGCGUAGAUGAUAAUUUAUACAAUUUGCGUAAAAACAAAAUAAGAUCUACAAAUGAAUAGAAGCUAGAACGUACAUUGGCAUGCACACACAUUGCAAGCCAUACUAAGCUGAUAAGUGUUAAUAACUUGUAUAACAUAUACAACACUUAACACAAGUAAAAGCAAUUUGAUGAGUCAUGGUCUAUCAAAGCCACAUUACUAGUCUAAUCCAUCUUAACAGGUCACACAUGAUUAAAAUCUUGUUUGUGUGCAAGUCAAGCUUAUCUAGUUUACAUGUAACAACUUGUAGAACAUUACAAAAUUUAUGUUUGCUAAUAACUUCUAGAACACUACAACACUUGACAUGUAAAAGGAAUUUGAUGAGUCAUGGCCUACUAAAGCAAGUUAUAUUACUAGUCUUAUCUACCUUAACAGGCCACACAAGAUUACAAACCAAGUUCUGUGCCAGCCAUGCUUAUCUAGUUUAUGCGUAACAAUUUGCAGAAAAUUACAAACUUAGUUUCAGAAAAAUAGGCAAUCUAGAUUAGUGUUUGAGCUGUAAAGUGAAUAAAAUGAGUCAUGCGUGUUAUCACACCUUUUUGGUUGUGGAAUGAUAGUGCAACAACAAGGAACUUUAAUGACCAGUUCAAGAAUACACUUGUAAGUAGUGCCACCGAACACAACAUACCAAAUUAUGAUUUUGAGAAGCAUCCAAGCACUUCCACACAAGCAAAUGCCAAUUGUGAAAGAGAUCAUGCCAUGGCAGCUAUAAAUAGGCCCGUAGCAUGACGAUCAUCCUUCCUCAUCCAUCAUUCUCAUAAGUAGAGCGCAUCAUUUAAGCCAAGCAAGCAGUGCUCAAUACAAAUCCACCAUGAAGACCUUUCUCAUCCUUGCACUCCUUGCUAUUGUAGCAACCACCGCCACAAUUGCAGUUAGAGUUCCAGUGCCACAAUUGCAGCCACAAAAUCCAUCUCAGCAACAACCACAAGAGCAAGUUCCAUUGGUACAACAACAACAAUUUCCAGGGCAGCAACAACCAUUUCCACCACAACAGCCAUAUCCGCAGCCGCAACCAUUUCCAUCACAACAACCAUAUCUGCAGCUGCAGCCAUUUCCGCAGCCGCAACUACCAUAUCCGCAGCCGCAUCUACCAUAUCCGCAGCCGCAACCAUUUCGACCACAACAACCAUAUCCACAACCGCAACCACAGUAUUCGCAACCACAACAACCAAUUUCGCAGCAGCAGCAACAACAACAACAACAACAACAACAACAGAUCCUUCAACAAAUUUUGCAACAACAACUGAUUCCAUGCAGGGAUGUUGUAUUGCAACAACACAGCAUAGCGCAUGGAAGCUCACAAGUUUUGCAACAAAGUACUUACCAGCUGGUGCAACAAUUGUGUUGUCAGCAGCUGUGGCAGAUCCCCGAGCAGUCGCGGUGCCAAGCCAUCCACAAUGUUGUUCAUGCUAUUAUUCUGCAUCAACAACAACAACAACAACAACAACAACAACAACAACAACCGUUGAGCCAGGUCUCCUUCCAACAGCCUCAACAACAAUAUCCAUCAGGCCAGGGCUCCUUCCAGCCAUCUCAGCAAAACCCACAGGCCCAGGGCUCUGUCCAGCCUCAACAACUGCCCCAGUUUGAGGAAAUAAGGAACCUAGCGCUAGAGACGCUACCUGCAAUGUGCAAUGUCUAUAUCCCUCCAUAUUGCACCAUUGCUCCAGUUGGCUUCUUCGGUACUAACUGAGAAGAGAAGAACUCUAGUAGUAGACAUAUGAUACACCGUUUUCUUAGUCCAUGGUUUGGUCGUUGUAGCGGUGAAAAAAUAAAGUGACAUGCAGUAUCAUGUAAGAACCCGAA